UACAGAGGGGGCGAGCGUUGUUCGGAAUUACUGGGCGUAAAGGGCGCGUAGGCGGCCUGCUAUGUCGAACGUGAAAUCCCCGGGCUCAACCCGGGAACUGCGUCCGAAACUGGCAGGCUUGAAUCCGGGAGAGGGAUGUGGAAUUCCAGGUGUAGCGGUGAAAUGCGUAGAUAUCUGGAGGAACACCGGUGGCGAAGGCGGCUUCCUGGACCGACACUGACGCUGAGGCGCGAAAGCUAGGGGAGCAAACGGG
rnacentral:rRNA from 1 species